rnacentral:rRNA from 1 species
UUCCGGUUGAUCCUGCCGGAGGUCACUGCUAUUGGAGUUCGAUUAAGCCAUGCGAGUCAAUAGUUCUUCGUGAACUAGGCGGACUGCUCAGUAACACGUGGGUAAUCUACCCUCGGGUCAGGGACAACCCCGGGAAACUGGGGAUAAUACCUGAUAGGUGAAGUGGUCUGGAAUGAUACUUCGCCUAAAGCUCCGGCGCCCGAGGAUGAGCCUGCGGCCGAUUAGGUAGUUGGCGGUGUAAAGGACCACCAAGCCUGUGAUCGGUACGGGUGGUGAGAGCCAUAGCCCGGAGAUGGGGGCUGAGACACGGCCCCAGGCCCUACGGGGCGCAGCAGGCGCGAAAACUACGCAAUGCGCGAAAGCGUGACGUGGGAACUCCAAGUGCCUUGCCUUCGGGUAAGGCUUUUGUGCAGUGUAAGUAGCUGCACGAAUAAGAGCGGGGUAAGACCGGUGCCAGCCGCCGCGGUAACACCGGCCGCUCAAGUGGUGACCGCUUUUAUUGGGCCUAAAGCGUUCGUAGCCGGUCCGGUAAGUCCUUGGGUAAAUCCUUCGGCUUAACCGAAGGAAUUCCGAGGAUACUGCUGGACUUGGAGUUGAGAGAAGUCGGAGGUACCUCCGGGGUAGGGGUGAAAUCCUAUAAUCCUGGGGGGACCACCAGUGGCGAAGGCGUCCGACUAGAGUAAGCUCGACGGUGAGGGACGAAAGCCAGGGGCGCGAACGGGAUUAGAUACCCCGGUAGUCCUGGCCGUAAACGCUGCGCGCUAGGUGUUACGUCCUCUACGAGGGGACGUAGUGCCGAAGAGAAGUUGAUAAGCGUGCCGCCUGGGAAGUAUUACCGCAAGGUAGAAACUUAAAGGAAUUGGCGGGGGAGCACCACAAGGGGUGGAGUCUGCGGUUCAAUUGGAUUCAACGCCGGA